AGAUCACACAUAACUAAACAUUGUCUAGAGAAUAAUAGCCCAAGACCAACAACAGAAAAACAAUAGGUGGUAAAACAGAUGUCUGUCCACCUGCAUUCCUGACUCUAGUUCAUUAACCUGUACACUUUAGCCCCUGCCCUAGGAACCAGGUAUUUAUUACUGAUUAAUCACAUAAGUCUCACCUGGAACAAUUGUAGAUGGAAGAACUGAUCUACAUCUCAUUCAUUUGGAAUGAGAACUGCUCAUAGAAAGCAUGGACAAUGUUCCAAAAUACUUUUCAGAGCUUUGCAGCUAAUGGAGAGAUUUGUACCAGAGCGUAUUAAUUUUGAUCACGUCCUACCUCUGGCAUGAGAAAGCUGGCAUGCAUCCCCCACUAGUUUGCGUCAUUGGAGGCUUAACAAAACUGUCAUUUGAGGGUGGAGUCUGUGGUGUGACAGGAGCAACUUGGUCUCCAUGGCGCCAGGACAAGCUUGACUGGGGGAGUUGCUGUUGCAUUCCUUCUUUUCUGUGUGGAACUGUGGCUGUGACCUGGAGCUGAAGAGGUAAGAGAUUCCUGAUGCGGUGACGCAGCUCAGUCAUUGCAAAAGCCCUGGUGCCUGAGGUGCCACCAUGUGUCCUCUUCCAGGACAUUCUCCAAACAAAGUAGAAUCCAUGCGCAUCAACAGCCCUCACCUGAGUCUCUCCCCUUUCCUGAAUUUCUACAAGUUCCUUCUGUUUCGUAAGCAGCUGGGAAAAGGCCUGCAGGUGGAAGGAGCACAGCUGAAGCCCUGGAUGGCCUUCCUUUUCUGCCCUGAAAAAACAGGUGAGCAGGAAGAGGGAAGGGCUUCAGGAACCCCCAAACCCUACCCCAGACCUGGAGAAGGCAGCACUCCACUCAACAAUGUCCUGGUAGCCAAGGGUCACAGAGAAAGAGGAGGGGCUGAACGGCUCCAUACCACUGUCCUGUGCACUCUGUGUCCUACAGUCACUGACAAAGAUCAGUGGAAUUCAGACGCCUGCUCCUGAGCCUGUCAGAACUGGUCAGACACAAUUGUGGGGGAAA